rnacentral:tRNA from 3 species
GGCCUCGUGGGAGAGUGGUUAUCCAGCGGUCUGCAAAACCGCGCACACCGGUUCGAAUCCGGUCGAGGCCUCCA